CCGUUCCCCGUUCGGGGGACAGGGUGACAGGUGGUGCAUGGUUGUCGUCAGCUCGUGUCGUGAGAUGUUGGGUUAAGUCCCGCAACGAGCGCAACCCUCGCCUCUAGUUGCCAGCAUUCGGUUGGGCACUCUAGAGGGACUGCCGGCGACAAGUCGGAGGAAGUGGGAUGACGUCAAAUCAUCAUGCCCCUUAUGACCUGGGCUACACACGUGCUACAAUGGGCGGUACAAAGGGCUGCGAACCCGCGAGGGGGAGCGAAUCCCAAAAAGCCGCUCUCAGUUCGGAUUGCAGGCUGCAACUCGCCUGCAUGAAGCCGGAAUCGCUAGUAAUCGCGGAUCAGCAUGCCGCGGUGAAUACGUUCCCGGGCCUU
rnacentral:rRNA from 1 species